UACGAAGGGGGCUAGCGUUGCUCGGAAUGACUGGGCGUAAAGGGCGCGUAGGCGGAUGGCACAGUCAGAUGUGAAAUUCCCGGGCUUAACCUGGGGGCUGCAUUUGAUACGUGUGAUCUAGAGUGAGGAAGAGGGUCGUGGAAUUCCCAGUGUAGAGGUGAAAUUCGUAGAUAUUGGGAAGAACACCGGUUGCGAAGGCGGCGACCUGGUCCUUGACUUACGCUGAGGCGCGAAAGCGUGGGGAGCAAACAGG
rnacentral:rRNA from 1 species